GAAACAGAGCAACAAAGAGUACACAAAUGUCUGGAUUAUGUAGGGAGAGCUUCUGGGAAGGGAAAGCCUGGCCCCUGGGCUGGAAAGUUCAAGGUACAAGGUGGGGUCUGCCAACCUUGCCCUGUAACAGGUGAGGACUGAGGAGUGUUGGGAGAACCUGGAGGCCCCGCUGUAACCUUCCCAGCCUUGAGCAGACUAAGCAGACCUUGAAUAUUUGCCAAGACAGGCCUUAUCAACCUGGACAGAGACAUCUGUUUUGGCUGCAGCUGCAGGUUCCCAUGGAAACUUAGCUGUUUUGGCUGCCUGCGCUGACCUUACUCUACAACACACGCCAGCUGAAGAAGGGGAUGGAUGGGUUUUGUGCUUUUUCCCUUUAUAAACACAAAGCUUAUUAUUAAACUUUGAGCCUUGAUCAGAAUCUUUGUCUUGGCUUCAUUCUUCUCUCGCCUCCCUACCUUUUCAUUCCCAGUCACCCUUUCAGGUAAACUCAGUUCGCCUGUGGCUGCUGGACAGCUCCGCCCAACCAGCUUUGGUGUGUUAAAUAUAAGCACAUCACCGCUGGUCCCCGGUCUGAAUCCCAACAGCAAGGAAAUAAAACUAUUGUUUCCCAAAAUCUCUCUUUAAUUGUGGGACCGAUUGAUAACUCCACUGCGAGUUGAGCAAUGGGCUUUUGCAAGCUUGAUUCCAGGAAGAAGAAGGCAAACAGCCUGAGUGAGGGAAGCUCAGGCUGAAGUCAGGACGUGGUGAGGACAGGGAGGAGCAAGCGACGGAGCAGCGAUCUUCUCUUGGAUCUUACUGGUAUUGGAAGAUGACUGUCAUCUCACCUCUGCGAGUCCACUGUUCUCGGGAUGCCAUUGCAGAGCUCCUGAAGACCAUUGUUCUCUGGAGUCACAAAACUUACAGAAUGAAUCUCUAUAUAGGAAGGGGAUUUAUUAGAUGACUUACUGUGGUCCAGCUAAUCCAACAAUGGCUGCAAAGGCCUGGAAUCCUCCUUGGAAGGAGGCUCAAAUGAAAGAAUGGACUUGCUAGCAAGUCUCCAGGUAUAUUCUGUGUUGAUGCCUGCUCAUCCCUCUCUGAUCUUUCAAGAGAUUCUGCACAUCUGCAGAGUGCUGUAGGGAAUGCAAACAAAGGGAAGGAAGAAAAAAACAUGGUGGCAUUGUUACUCUUACGUUCGAUAAAGAACCUUCCCACUGACACCCAGGAUAUCACUAUUUGUCUGUCUCUUGUACCUUUAUGAGAAUGAAGAGUUGGAUCUUCAAGAUGGUGGAUAUGGGGCCAUAACACAGAAGCUCCUCCAACUCUGAAAGGCAGACCUCUGCUACCAGUGUGCUGAAAGUUCACAGAACCAGCCUUAGGAUACCAUCUACAAGAGCUGGCUCAUCCGACAGAAAUGCUGAUUGACAGGAAAACAUGACGUUCCUAGGUAACCCGAAGCAUCCUUGUAGACCUCUGCCACCUGGCCUACUCUUGGCAAGGGCAUUCUAUGCCUCAUGCUGCCUGGCCUCCUCUAAGAAGACUCUCUGCCCUAGUGAACAAUAAGUGGAAGUUUAUAGGAUGAAUGAAUGAGGGGUAGAAUGUGGCGUCAUUGGAAAUUUCCAGUCUCCAGGACAGUUUGCAUUUCAAUAUUUUGAGCCAAUCACCAAUAUAGAGGACAAUAUAGAGAAGGCAGUCUCUGGCAUGGCCCUGCAUCCACAUACAGCCACCUGUUCCAGGUAGGACCAAACUUUAGCUGCACACCACAUCCUUGGGUGAUCUCAGUGGGUUGCCCCAUAGGAUCCUGACCUAGGGGCCCUUGAUGCCUUGGAUUGGAGGCAACCUGGACAAUUUCUACCUAUGCAAGAGUCUCACCUGCAGCCAAGGUGGAGCCACUGACUCAGGUGACCCACUCAGAGAUCUCUAACCCUGUGACACUGGGCCUGUGGCUUUUGGUCUCCCAGGACCUCUUCCUUCAGGGUUCAUCCCCCUUGAGUCUUCCUCAUGUUCUCUUUUCCAGUUCCUCUCCAUCCCUUGGGGGCUCUCAGAGACUGAACCACCAACCAAAGAGCAUGCAAGGCCUAGACUUAGGCUUUCUACAUAUAUAUAGUGAAAGACCCACAACGUGAGGACUCCCCCACGUUCUGACUCAGGAGAGGCGACAACCCAAAAUCA